GAGAGUGCACUUACUAACACCCUGUCCCCUGGAGAUCGAAUCGUCUCAUUUCUCAUCGGACAGUUCAGCCUCCUCUGGAUUGACCAGCAGCAGCGUCUGAACUUUAAUGUUGAUGUCGUAGAGAGUGACUGGGGACAAGGUGCCAACCUUGACGUUUUAGCCGAAAAGUUGGCAGCAGACCACUCGCACAGUAUCAAAGCUAUUUGCAUCGUUCACAAUGAGACGGCAACGGGAGUUACCAACAACUUGGCGACUGUGAGGAAACUACUUGGUGAGGUCUAAAUUUUCAUUGACUUGAUAAUGAGAAAUCGAAAAUAUGCCUUUCCACAUUGAUUUCCAGCUGGUCUCAACUUUUUAUGGUACUCGGUGAUUGGAAUUAGUAGGCCAGUUCAAUUCAGGCUGUCAGCUUGCAUUGAAGAAAAUAAAUAAUUUUUACUUGUCAUGAUUGUUGUUUGCACUUAGGCAAUGGCUGUUGAGUGCCACCUUAUAUAUCUCCGGGAGUUCAGAAAACCACUCAUCUGUUGGUUUUUUUUUCUCUGCUGCUAUUCUGAACGUACCGAUAAAUAUUGCUGUCUGUUUUACCUAACAUGCCCAUUUAUUGUAAAAAAGUCAGCCUCUGGUCCUCUAGUUUGAUCCUCAUCGAGCAUGAAUACUCAUCAUCUCCCGAUAGAAUCGACAUCCGGGGUUUCUCCUUGCAUCAUUUUUCAUUUUUAUUAUGCUCUGAGAAGCUUAUGUACGUACCUGUGUGGAGACAGACGACUAUAGGCAUCCCGCGUUGCUGCUGGUUGACGGAGUGUCGUCAAUAUGCGCGCUCGACUUCCGUAUGGACGAGUGGGGGGUGGACGUGGCACUGACGGGAUCUCAGAAGGCCCUCUCGCUGCCCACUGGGAUGGGCAUCGUUUGCGCCAGCCCCAAGGCGCUGGAGGCUUCCAAGACCGCUAAGUCGGUAAGAGUGUUUUUCGACUGGAACGACUACCUCAAGUUCUACAAGAUGGGGACUUACUGGCCGUACACCCCGUCCAUUCAACUGCUUUAUGGGCUUCGAGCUGCUCUGGACCUCAUAUUCGAGGAGGGCCUCGAGAACGUGAUCCGGAGGCACAGCCGCCUGGGGACGGCAACAAGGUCAGUCAUCCUCGCUCCCCCAUAUCCUACCUAUUCAAGGCGGAUCAUUGUUCGAACCGUUGACUUUUUAUGUAUACAAACAGAGAUUAUGGGGAGACGACUAUUUAGGCUCCGUGCCUACCCCCCCGUCAUUGUAGGAGGAUUUUUCUUUGUCGAAGGUGUUGACUUUUUCGGGCGAACAAUAGAAAAUAAUUUAUUUCUGAUGGAUGAUAAGCUGUGUGCGCGUAGGCU
rnacentral:lncRNA from 1 species